GACGAACGCUGGCGGCGUGCUUAACACAUGCAAGUCGAACGGAAAGGCCCUGCUUUUGUGGGGUGCUCGAGUGGCGAACGGGUGAGUAACACGUGAGUAACCUGCCCUUGACUUUGGGAUAACUUCAGGAAACUGGGGCUAAUACCGGAUAGGAGCUCCUGCUGCAUGGUGGGGGUUGGAAAGUUUCGGCGGGUGGGGAUGGACUCGCGGCUUAUCAGCUUGUUGGUGGGGUAGUGGCUUACCAAGGCUUUGACGGGUAGCCGGCCUGAGAGGGUGACCGGCCACAAUGGGACUGAGAGACGGCCCAGACUCCUACGGGGGGGAGCAGUGGGGAAUAUUGCAGAAUGGGCGGAAGACUGAUGCAGCAACGCCGCGUGCGGGAUGACGGCCUUCGGGUUGUAAACCGCUUUCGCCGGUGACGAAGCGUGAGUGACGGUAAUGGGUAAAGAAGCACCGGCUAACUACGUG
rnacentral:rRNA from 1 species